AACGUUGACCUCGGAUCAGGUAGGAAUACCCGCUGAAACUUAAGCAUACUAAAGGGGGGAAAGAAA
rnacentral:rRNA from 1 species